GGAGAUUUAGCUCAACGGUAUAAGCACCUGCCUUGCAAGCAGGCGGUCAUCAGUUCAAUCCCCA
rnacentral:tRNA from 1 species